GUCAAGUUGAAACUGACAUUGACAACAAAUUUUACUCGAAGCAUAAAAAAAGAAGUUUGGUUCAGAUAAUAAUGUUUUUUUUUAAUUUUAUCACAAAACACAGUUUAAAAUUUAAUGCAAAUCUCUUGACAGAAUCUGUGGUCUCCAAGCAAAGAUUGCUGAGAACUGGCUUUACAGUCGCUUUGAUUAUAUGUAUAUUUGCACACAGAAUCCCUGUGAUUUGCACAGACAAAAAUAGGAUUUUGCACAAGAAAUGGCAACAUUUGCUGGAUGCUUUCAGCUAUCAGCUGAAUAAUACCAACAAAGAUAUCUUUGGGAUAGACUAAACCUCCUCGGUUUUGAAUGGCAAUCAAUUGUAGCAAAGGACCUGGAAUGCUAGUACAUAAUAGAGGUGUUAAACAUUCAUCACAAUGAAAUAAAUCUUCUAAUUUUUUUAUGAUGUAUCCUGCCAAGAAAGCUACUAUAUUAUUAUCACUUCUUAAGAUUGUGAAUAUUUCUUCGUACUUCAAUUGGAAAUAUGAGUUGUUCUGUGUGCUUAGUAAAGCUCUCUCUGUUUUCUUGUAAAUUUAAAAUAUUUGCAGGACUAAUAUAGUUAACAUUUUCAGCAGUGUUUGAGGAAUGGGAAGCUUUAACAAUCCCACAACGAAGAAUUUGCCUUAAUGCAUAAUCUGCAGCUCUGGCAUCUGUGGCAUCAUUAGAACCACCUUUCAGUCUUACAUGUGAAAACAUGGCCUCUACAGCGUCUGAGCUAAAGGAUCGCGUUACAACAUAAUAGAAGCCAACCUGGCUUAGCAAAAAUUUUAUAAAUUUUUAAAUCCAACGUCUACAGAAGUCUUCUGGAUAUCGUCAAUAUACUUUGGAAAUGUGACAUUUAACCAGUCAAGACGUUCAUCUGAAAUAUGCACAUAUGGUGCAAUACUGCUAUCUAGUGAACGAAGAUAGUGAUCUCUGCUUGAAACAUUAUGCACCUGAAAAAAAUGGUACAUGUUUUCCAUAUAGAAUAUAGAGGCAUCAGCGUCAACAAAGCGAUCGUUCCCUGCAGCUUUUAGAAAUUUUAAAGAAGAGGUUACAGUAGGUGAAAAAACUUGGAUUGCUCUUAGGACAUUCAUUUUUUCAAAGUUUGAUGGAAAUAGAUGCUUCUUUGUUAAAUAUCUGACAGGCUUUACUGGCAUUCCCUUCUGCAAAUCAUACAAUAAUUUGAGAGCAUGGCAGAAAUCGAAACUCAAAAAUAGUGGAAUAUGUUCCAGAAUGGGAUGAUUAAUGGAAUUUUUCAGUGAUCCGUUUCCAAAUUUUUUAAAGAGGGCGACAUUUGUUGAAAUAUUGUCUGUAACAAAUCUAAUCACAAUGUAGCCGCAGUUUGU